AUUGUAUGUUACUGCCAAAUAUUUUUCUUAUAGAUUUCUGAAUUGUUCAACGUUCUGUUGAAUGCCUGAGACAACUUACAAUGAAUCAACAAAAUUAAGAAAUGGAGACAUUAAGACGCUCCAUAAAACCAGAAUAGGAAUAAAGAGGAUUUCCAGAGCUGCAAAUAUGAGGUUUGGCCCAUUCCUGGUCAAUAAGAUAAGAGGGUGAAUUUUCUCCAUGAGCUUUUCCUGAGUCCCAAGAUUCACAUCACCAGAAGGCUGUUUGAGAUGCACAAAUCCCAGGAAAUGAACAUAUCGAGGCAAAGGGAUCAGCCUCCCUUUCUACUUGGCCUGCCACUUUGUACUAUGCUGGUUGAGGGCAAAUGGGAAACAACUGAAGGGACCCAAGUCGGCAGGGCCAGCUCUAGACAUUUAGGCCACCUGAGGAGAGUCAUAUUCUGGUAUGUUCAUGGUUUGGUUCGUCUUCUCAUUUUGUCAUUAAUUUCGAAAAGGCACUUUCUUUUUUCUUAAUUAUAUUUAAUGCUCAAGUUCACAUAAAGUAAAUUGGCUCAAGGAUUGUGCUGUUACUGCUUUUCACUAUUUUACUGUGUUUUUCAGAAGUCUUCAAUUUUGGUACCCUCCCCCCACAAGUCAUGGCACUCCUAGGCUGGUGCCCACUCUGUCUUUGUCUAAAGCUGGCCCUGUGGGGAAGCUGAUACUUUUGGCAGGUUCUUCUGCUCUGUGUUAGUCUGGACACCUGGAAGGAGGAUGGAAUGGAAGAUGCAAUUACCAAAUUGUGCUUUAGAAUCAAAUAAAGCUUCUGCACAUUGGAUUUGUUUCUGUUUU
rnacentral:lncRNA from 1 species